rnacentral:rRNA from 1 species
GACGAACGCUGGCGGCGUGCUUAACACAUGCAAGUCGAACGGAAAGGCCCUGCUUUUGUGGGGUGCUCGAGUGGCGAACGGGUGAGUAACACGUGAGUAACCUGCCCUUGACUUUGGGAUAACUUCAGGAAACUGGGGCUAAUACCGGAUAGGAGCUCCUGCUGCAUGGUGGGGGUUGGAAAGUUUCGGCGGUUGGGGAUGGACUCGCGGCUUAUCAGCUUGUUGGUGGGGUAGUGGCUUACCAAGGCUUUGACGGGUAGCCGGCCUGAGAGGGUGACCGGCCAAAUUGGGACUGUGAUAGGGCCCAGACUCCUACGGGAGGCAGCAGGGGGGAAUAUUGCACAAUGGGCGGAAGCCUGAUGCAGCAACGCCGCGUGCGGGAUGACGGCCUUCGGGUUGUAAACCGCUUUCGCCUGUGACGAAGCGUGAGUGACGGUAAUGGGUAAAGAAGCACCGGCUAACUACGUG